rnacentral:lncRNA from 1 species
UUCCUUUUAUAGACGAAGCUUGCGUACUGAUUGGUUGCCACGUGUCGUCUUCUGAUUGUGCCGACACUCUGCUUGUUACGUGUCGUCUUCUGAUUGUGCCGACACUUUGUUGCUACGUGUCAAGUCUUGGUUGGCUGAUGGAGACCUUUGUCGUGUUGCUUCAAAGUCUCCAGGUGGGUCCCAUGCUUGUCUCAUGUGGGUCCCUUGAUGAUGAUGUCUUGGAUGUUUAUACAGAUAUACUCUGUAUAAUUAUUUGGUACCUGUUACAAAUAUAGAAAGUAGAAAAGAAAAUAAUUUACAGAGUCUACUAGGAUAUUUUUUAGAACAAAAUUCAAAAUUUAGGUUAUGGACAUAUUAUUAGAUUUUAUUUUUUAUUUUUUUAUUUUUUAUUCUUCGAAAGGGUCUUGUGCUAGAGGUCCGCCGAACGAGUCGUUGGUAUCGUUGUUAAGGUCUUCUUCUUCGGAGCUUGAGGCCAUCAAUUGAUCGAUGAGUUGUGCCAGUUUUUCUUUCUUUGAUUGCUUAGAUCUUUUUUGGCUUGAAGAAGAUGUAGUUGAAGUAGAAGGACUUGAUUUCUUCUGAGAAGUUUGCUGUAUUUGACUUGGUAGGAGUAGGGGAACUGUUUUUGAAACCGAUUGGACAGCUUGUUUUGCUUGCUUGAUGGUGUCAAAGUAUUUCUGGAUGUUUGAAUAGCUACAUCGGUCUUGAUUAUAUUUUUCCCACCAUUUUACCCUAAAUUCUC